rnacentral:rRNA from 1 species
UGGCGAACGGGUGAGUAACGCGUGAGGAACCUGCCUCAAAGAGGGGGACAACAGUUGGAAACGACUGCUAAUACCGCAUAAGCCCACGGGUCGGCAUCGACCAGAGGGAAAAGGAGCAAUCCGCUUUGAGAUGGCCUCGCGUCCGAUUAGCUAGUUGGUGAGGUAAUGGCCCACCAAGGCAACGAUCGGUAGCCGGACUGAGAGGUUGAACGGCCACAUUGGGACUGAGACACGGCCCAGACUCCUACGGGAGGCAGCAUG